GUGAGGAAUAUUGGUCAAUGGACGGAAGUCUGAACCAGCCAUGCCGCGUGCAGGAAUAAGGUCCUAUGGAUUGUAAACUGCUUUUAUUCGGGAAUAAACCUCUUUACGUGUAGGGAGCUGAAGGUACCGAAGGAAUAAGCACCGGCUAACUCCGUGCCAGCAGCCGCGGUAAUACGGAGGGUGCAAGCGUUAUCCGGAAUCAUUGGGUUUAAAGGGUCCGCAGGCGGGCUAUCAAGUCAGAGGUGAAAUCCCACAGCUUAACUGUGGAACUGCCUUUGAAAAUGAUGGUAUUGGAUUAAGUGGGCGUUGGCGGAAUAUGACAUGUAGCGGUGAAAUGCAUAGAUAUGUCAUGGAACACCGAAAGCGAAGGCAGCUAACGAUACUUAUAUUGACGCUCAUGGACGAAAGCGUGGGUAGCGAACAGGAUUAGAUACCCCAGUAGUCC
rnacentral:rRNA from 1 species